UACGUAGGGUGCGAGCGUUGUCCGGAAUUACUGGGCGUAAAGAGCUCGUAGGUGGUUUGUCGCGUUGUUCGUGAAAACUCACAGCUCAACUGUGGGCGUGCGGGCGAUACGGGCAGACUGGAGUACUGCAGGGGAGACUGGAAUUCCUGGUGUAGCGGUGGAAUGCGCAGAUAUCAGGAGGAACACCGGUGGCGAAGGCGGGGUCUCUGGGCAGUAACUGACGCUGGAGGAGCGAAAGCCGUGGGGAGCGAACAGG
rnacentral:rRNA from 1 species